rnacentral:miRNA from 14 species
AGGCAGUGUAAUUAGCUGAUUGU